rnacentral:rRNA from 1 species
GAGGGGUUGAUCCUGGCUCAGGAUGAACGCUGGCGGCGUGCCUAAUACAUGCAAGUCGAGCGAACGGACGAGAAGCUUGCUUCUCUGAUGUUAGCGGCGGACGGGUGAGUAACACGUGGAUAACCUACCUAUAAGACUGGGAUAACUUCGGGAAACCGGAGCUAAUACCGGAUAAUAUUUUGAACCGCAUGGUUCAAAAGUGAAAGACGGUCUUGCUGUCACUUAUAGAUGGAUCCGCGCUGCAUUAGCUAGUUGGUAAGGUAACGGCUUACCAAGGCAACGAUGCAUAGCCGACCUGAGAGGGUGAUCGGCCACACUGGAACUGAGACACGGUCCAGACUCCUACGGGAGGCAGCAGUAGGGAAUCUUCCGCAAUGGGCGAAAGCCUGACGGAGCAACGCCGCGUGAGUGAUGAAGGUCUUCGGAUCGUAAAACUCUGUUAUUAGGGAAGAACAUAUGUGUAAGUAACUGUGCACAUCUUGACGGUACCUAAUCAGAAAGCCACGGCUAACUACGUGCCAGCAGCCGCGGUAAUACGUAGGUGGCAAGCGUUAUCCGGAAUUAUUGGGCGUAAAGCGCGCGUAGGCGGUUUUUUAAGUCUGAUGUGAAAGCCCACGGCUCAACCGUGGAGGGUCAUUGGAAACUGGAAAACUUGAGUGCAGAAGAGGAAAGUGGAAUUCCAUGUGUAGCGGUGAAAUGCGCAGAGAUAUGGAGGAACACCAGUGGCGAAGGCGACUUUCUGGUCUGUAACUGACGCUGAUGUGCGAAAGCGUGGGGAUCAAACAGGAUUAGAUACCCUGGUAGUCCACGCCGUAAACGAUGAGUGCUAAGUGUUAGGGGGUUUCCGCCCCUUAGUGCUGCAGCUAACGCAUUAAGCACUCCGCCUGGGGAGUACGACCGCAAGGUUGAAACUCAAAGGAAUUGACGGC